rnacentral:tRNA from 1 species
GCCCGCCUAGCUCAAUCGGAUAGAGCGUCAGACUUUUACGGCGGGUUUGACUCCUGUGUCAUCUGAAGGCUGCGAGUUCGACCCUCGCGGUGGGCU